UCCAACAUCCUUGGGAUUAAUAGAGAGCUUUGACAAAUCAUCACCCCUAUGUAUAAUUGGUACCAUACCUCGACGAAAGAGAUCAAAGAUGCGACUUAGGAAAAUGUAUUCAAGUACCUCUCCUCGUCGUCAGCCAUCAAAAAAGAUAAUUAAUAAGAAGAUUCCAAUGUGCAAGCAAGAUCAGAAUUUAAAAACCUUUCCUCGACGUCAGCCAUCAAAGAGGAUAAUUAACAGCAAGAUUCCAGUCCGCAAGGAAGAUCAGCUUGACGCGAGCAAGUUUCAGUUCUACUUCGAAUGGGUUCACUGACCUAUAUUGUUCUACAUGUAACAUAUUUUGGUUUGAGGAUGCUGAGGAUGUUCUUUUUUAUCGGGAUAUGUUAUGCAGCUCCUUCUCGGCAGAAACAAAGAACUCUUUCACAUAUCUUGAUUGCUUGUGGUUUUCCUUGUAUAGGAAAGGGUUACCGAAGGCAAAGGUGUUGACUUGGGUUAAGGUCAGACAUGUUCUUUCAAGAAAAAUUAUGUUUUGGUUCCCCUUGUUUGCUGGUGUGUUUACUACUUACAUUAAGCAAAAUCUUUUUCUCAUUAAACAAAUCUGACUCUGAUGUAAAGUUUAUAUGAAAUGUCAAUAAUUUAAGAAUCACUGGAGUCUUUUGAUCUUAUGCCACUUUGGAGAAAGUUUGGAAUCUAGAACUACAAAACCAUGCAUGCUGCUAUGCGAUUCCCUUGAAAUAGCAGAUCCAAGGCGGUUUGAACCUGAUAUAAGAAAGUUUAUAUUGGACAUUUAUAAAGUUGAAGGAAAAGGCAAUUGGAAAAAUUUCUCUGUUGGUGCCGAAGGUACCACAACAAAGGAAUAAAGAUAAUUGUGGAUUUUUUGUUCUCUACUUUGUAGAUUUGUUCAUGCGAUAUGCUCCAGACAAAUUUAGCACUGACGAGGGCUAUCCUUACUUUAUGGAUGAAAAUUGGUUUACUGCUGAAAGCGUGCAAAACUUUCGUAUUCAGGUCACUUCUUUUUGCAGGUGAAUCACCUAAUUUUGUAUUUUAUAGGUAAUAUCAAACAUAAUGAACUUAGGAAGUCUAUAAUUGCCUAAUAGGGUGGGUUGGAAACACCACAUAACAGUUGAGUUCAAGCUUUCAAACAAUUGUUGUUAUCUAAAAGAACUUGACUAUGCAAUUUUCUGGUGAUGUUUUAAAAGGUUACCAAAGGGGUUUAUGAAAGGAUUUUCAUUGGGUACACGAGAGUAGAUUCAUUAGUAACGAUAGGCAGUGAAACAAGCAAUUGCAAAAAGCAGUAAAGCAUUUACCCGAAGCUUGUCGUGUAAUAGGACUUCUAUAAAUCCAUUUUUCAAGGCAAUCUAAGGAGAUCAAUUUACUUGGGUUAAGGACCGACUUGGUUUUACUUCAAACCAUGGAGAUGAAUUUACUUAUUUUGUUUCUAUGGUUUUUUCGUUUCAAGUUUACGGUCUGUUGAAACACUGCAGCAGGAUAAAUGUUUGAAGAUGGACUGGCCUCCGAGAUGCCAUCGUGACGCUUCAAGUACACGGAUAUGCACAUAUGGACAGUAGAACAUUGCUAUGUAUAUCUUCAGUUAACAUUGUUUAUCGCGUUUAACCAUCAUCUGUGUAUAAACCUAACAAAUAGAAGCAAGGCUACUAAGCCCACAAUAGAGUAUGCAAGUAUGACAUCAAAUGGAGGAAAGCAACUUAUUAAUUUAUACCAGUUUCAGGCUGUUGGUAUACAUGUGUGCAUUGUUGAUUCCACUGAGAUAUGGAUGAGUGUUCAACUUGUGUGAUCUUUUCGUUUUAUCAGUUUCGUAUCAUGACACUAGAGGCAGUGUUACGCCUUUUGUGUCUGUUGUCAAUUUCACUAAAGUUUUUUUGAUGAGUGUGCAACUUGUCUGAUUAUUUUUUUUGUUUUGUUUUCUUUAUAAGU